GUUCAAGCUUCGGUUGAACAGAUACUAAAAUUGGAACGAUGUAGCAAAGCUUAGCAUGGCCCCUGCGCAAGGAUUACCCGCAAAAUCGUGAAGUGUUUCACAUUUUU